GACGAACGCUGGCGGCGUGCCUAAUACAUGCAAGUCGAGCGAGACUCUUCGGAGUCUAGCGGCGGACGGGUGAGUAACACGUGGGCAACCUGCCUGUAAGACUGGGAUAACACCGGGAAACCGGUGCUAAUACCGGAUAAUCCUUUUUCUCUCAUGAGGAAAAGCUGAAAGUCGGUUUCGGCUGACACUUACAGAUGGGCCCGCGGCGCAUUAGCUAGUUGGUGAGGUAACGGCUCACCAAGGCGACGAUGCGUAGCCGACCUGAGAGGGUGAUGGGCCACACUGGGACUGAGACACGGCACAGACUCCUACGGGAGGCAGCAGUAGGGAAUCUUCCACAAUGGACGAAAGUCUGAUGGAGCAACGCCGCGUGAGCGAUGAAGGCCUUCGGGUCGUAAAGCUCUGUUGUUAGGGAAGAACAAGUACCGGAGUAACUGCCGGUACCUUGACGGUACCUAACCAGAAAGCCACGGCUAACUACGUGCCAGCCGCCGCCGUAACAC
rnacentral:rRNA from 1 species